rnacentral:rRNA from 1 species
AGUGAACGCUGGCGGUAGGCCUAACACAUGCAAGUCGAACGGCAGCACAGUAAGAGCUUGCUCUUACGGGUGGCGAGUGGCGGACGGGUGAGGAAUACAUCGGAAUCUACUUUUUCGUGGGGGAUAACGUAGGGAAACUUACGCUAAUACCGCAUACGACCUACGGGUGAAAGCAGGGGAUCUUCGGACCUUGCGCGAUUGAAUGAGCCGAUGUCGGAUUAGCUAGUUGGCGGGGUAAAGGCCCACCAAGGCGACGAUCCGUAGCUGGUCUGAGAGGAUGAACAGCCACACUGGGACUGAGGAACGGUCCAGACACCUACGGGGAGCAACAGUGGGGAAUAUUGGACAAUGGGGGCAAGCCUGAUCCAGCCAUACCGGGGGGGGGAAGAAGGCCUUCGGGUUGGAAAGCCCUUUUGUUGGGAAAGAAAAGCAGCAGGUUAAUACCCCGCUGUUCUGACGGUACCCAAAGAAUAAGCACCGGCUAACUUCGUG